rnacentral:lncRNA from 1 species
UUAGAAGCAGGGAGCUCUCUUCUUCUUCCCCUGGAUCCUUCCUUUAAAAUAGUUUCUUUUGUCUUAGGUUUUCAUUUCUACGUUUGUCCCUUCAUUCAGUCUCUUAAAUGACGGUCUCAAGCAGUAACAGUAGUAAUUGCUGUAAUGACGGUCUCAAGUAGUAACCAGGGCAGUCUGCCACAAGUGGCACCUGAACAGGGACUAACAGGGACUAUCAGGAACAAACGGAGACCUGAAGAGACCUGAAGGGAACUGAAGAGGACUGCAGGGACAAAUAGAGAUAAGUAGGGAUAAAUAGAGAUAAAUAGAGACAAAUAGAGAUAGGUAGGGAAAGACAGGGACUUGCAGGAAGUAACAGGGACCAUAGGGACAGACAGGGAUAGAUAAAGACUAGCAAAGACUAGCCGAGAUUAGCAAAGACCAGCAAGGACUAGCAGAGACUAGCAAAGACUAGCAGAAACUUGCAGGGACAGGCAGAGACAGAUAGGGACAGAUAGGGUCCUAUAGGGACUUGAACGAGGAAGAUCUGCUGGAAAAGAAAAGAACUACAACCAACCAGACGAACAAGAAACACUGUUACAAGUCAGCUGGCAGCAACAUAAGGAUGAUGCCCAUUCUAUUUCCUAGGAAGGGAUAAGUUUUAAGGCCUUAUAAAAAGUGACACAAAGUGAACCGGGUUCUAUAAAUUACCAUGGAAAGUGGUGAGCCAACGAUUUGGCAGAACAAAACCCUGAGGAUAUGCAAACAAAAGGGACUAUGGAAUUUGCAAUUGCAGAUUAAAAUUGAAGAAGAAAACAUUUGAGUUGCAAAUACUGUAUUAAAAGUGGACACUGCUUAUGACUGCUGUAUGCAACAGUUUUUCAGGCCCGAGGUGAUAAAUAAAAAAUUG